CACCUCAAACUUUGCUUUUGGCUAUGGAUACUAGUAAUGAUGCUGCUUGGAUUCCUUGUACUGCUUGUGAUGGUUGUGCUUCAACUUUGUUUGCUCCUGAAAAAUCAACUACAUUUAAGAAUGUUAGUUGUGCUGCUCCUGAAUGCAAACAGGUAUUUACUUCACUAACAAAGACACAUUUUUUUGUCAAGGUUUUCGUGACUAGGUAUAUUUUUAUAUUGGCGUAAAUUUGAUAAAAUUAUGAUAGUACUAUGAUUUCGUGAAACUUUAAAAUGUAGUUUUUGUUAAAAAAUUACGAAGGUUCAUCUUGAUUCUGAUAAUCUCAUCACCGUGAAUCUAAACAUUGGAAGAAAAUUAUGGUUUUAAAUUGUGGUUGUGGUCGUGACUUUGAUAUGGUGACACGAUACAAAUGAUGCAAUUGCAAUUAUCGUCACGAUGUUGCUAAGACAUCUAAAACUUUAUAAUGUUGCUAUAAUUGUUUGCAAACCCUAAUUUAAAAAUCUGAGUUGAUUUCAAUUUCCAAGCUCUCACAUCUAUUUUUUAUUUUGAUUCUUUGCCUUUUUCUUCAUAAACAUUUUUUUCGGUGCAAUGAUUUAUUUUUACUCCAAGGUAUUUAUUCUAAUAAUUUGCUAGUACCUUCAUUAAAAAUUGAAAUAUUUUGAUUUUUGAUUAUAUGCAAAAUCUAUUCAUGGUUUUCAUGUUUUGUUAACUAGCUAGUGGAUUAUGCAUUAUUAAAAUCACAACAAUUGUGAAAUAUUUGUUGAAAAAGGUAAUCUGUUUAAUAUAUGAUCAUACUUUAAGAAAAGAUGUGAUUUGAAUACUUUACAGUUUUUUAUUUCGUAAUCAGCAUCAUAACAUAAGAUACUAUAUUUUUAUUUUGUAAUCAUAUCCAAAGAUACUCCUUAUUUUGUCGAUUGUCAUAUUUCUAUUCUAUUUUAAAAUUUAAAACAAUCACGUGACCUCAAAUGCCACAAGGUACACAUCGCUACUGUGAAUGUUUUUGUACUCUAGUGAAGUGUACAUAAAAAUUUGUUUGAACUGGUGAAAGAUUUGUUUUGAGGAUGCCAAUAAAAUUAUUGAAUCACUACAUGAUAUUUAGUGUAGAAGUGAGCCAAUUAAAUUCUUCAAAUUAAUGGAAUUUUUAUAUGAUCCCUAAAAAUUACUAAAAUACUUGGUCACUUUGUUACGUGACAAUUGUAAAACUAAUUUGAUCGACUAAAAGAUAAAAGAAUAUCCUUCUGGUUGUAUUUAUAAGCAAUUUUUUUUUAUAACUGAUGUGUUUGGAUUAUAAUAUAUUUCAGAUACAUCAGUUAUUAUGUUUUAAAAAAAAAAAAAUACAUCUGUUAUUUAAUAAAUCUAAAAAAACAAAAAUAUUUAUAAAUAUGAUCGGAAAAAGUAUUAUAUAUCGUCGUAAAAUAGAGCUUAAAUUAUCUUAGACAAACUACUUAAAUUAUCUUUACUUGGACAAAAGUUCACAUGACAUACAGCUUGGCACGAAUCUUUUACCUUUACUUGCCGUUGAAGGGUAAUUACUAGUUUCACAAUGAAAGGGACUACAAGGAGAGAUUAUUUGAUCACAUUGAAACGUGCAACUUUUGUCCCAUUGUAGGUGGGGUUGACUUAUAUCCUAGCCCAAUCUAUGAAUCCAAAAUAUUGAAAGCUAUGUGCUCUCUAUGGCAGGCAAAGGUUCACGAGACUUGGAGUCUUCUAAAAUCUAAAUGCACUUUUUCCAAUGAUGUAAUCAUGGUUUAAAAAUUGGAUUGAAACCGUCGUAUUAAUCGGUCAAUAAAAAUUGACCGAUUUAUCAGUUGGUUUAUUUUCGACAGUUUUAAAUUCUAUUAGUUGAAUUAGAUUGAUAUGAGUUGAAUAGAUUGAAUUGAAUUCUAGUUGAAUUAGAUUGAACUAGGUUGAGUUGAUUGAAUUGUAAAUGACGAAAAAAUUCAAAAAUCGAUUAAUACAUUGGUUGGUUUAUUCUGGUCUAAUAACCAUUGAAUGGAUUGAACCAUGAUCAGUCUUAUUAAUUCAUUCUCCAUCUCAUUUUUGAAACAUUGGUAUUAAUGUGAACAUUUUAUUUUGUUUCAUUUUUCAGGUACCUAACCCUGGUUGUGGUGUGAGCUCAUGCAAUUUCAACCUAACCUAUGGCAGUUCCUCUAUUGCAGCUAACUUGGUACAAGACACUAUUAC
rnacentral:lncRNA from 1 species